UACGUAGGUGGCAAGCGUUGUCCGGAUUUACUGGGCGUAAAGAGCGCGCAGGCGGUCGAGUAAGUCGAAUGUGAAAGCCCCCGGCUUAACUGGGGAGGGUCAUUCGAUACUGUUCGACUUGAAGGCAGGAGAGGGCAGCAGAAUUCCCGGUGUAGUGGUGAAAUGCGUAGAUAUCGGGAGGAACACCAGUGGCGAAGGCGAGUCCCUGGACAACUCCCGACGCUGAGGCACGAAAGCUAGGGGAGCAAACAGG
rnacentral:rRNA from 1 species